rnacentral:lncRNA from 1 species
CAAGACACGCCUCCCUGCCUCACGCCCCUCGCUCGGGGCUGCGGAAGUCCUCCGGAGACCGGCGCGUCCUGGGGACUACCGUUCCCAGAAGGCAGCGCGGUGGUCCGCCUACGACUCCCGGCAGCCCCCGCGCGCCUGGCUCGCCGGCUCUCUGGCUCUCUCGCUCUCCCCCCCCCCCCACCUCCAGCGCGCUGCUUGGCGCUGGAGAAACUACAGUUCCCACGAGGCCUCGCGCCAAGCGGCUUGGAAGUGGGCAGCCUGGAAGUCACUCGGGCCACCGGAGCUGGCGGCGUCUCUAGCGAGCCGCGCGGUGCGGGACGCCGCGGUCGAGGAGCCCGCGGGGCGUGCAGCCGGGACGGCUAGGUGCAUCGCCUUUGACCUUGGCUCUGCCUUUGACCUAGGCUCUCGUGAGACCUGAAAGGCACACUGGGCAAACUGAGGUAAGUACAGUGGCUAUUAUUUGUUUAAAUUUUAUUGGUAAUACACAUAAUGUCUUUAUUAUUUUUAAAUAUGCAUACAAAGACUAUCAGAGAAGAGGUAACAGUCGCCAUCACUACCCCCACCACCUCCCAUCCUCCCUUAGGGGUGAGGACUGUCAUUCACUGCUAGUGUUCUGG